AUUCAGGAAGUAAUGUCCUUAUCAAAAUAAUUUAAUUCUCACCACGUACUAAUUCUUCAGCUAUUUGAACGAAAAUAUCAAAAAUGUUGACAGAAAAUUUAAAGGUCAACUUUGUCUUACUGGAAGGGAGGGAGAGCUCCAGACGUACUUAUUAACAGACAAAGCAGGCUUAUGGCUUAUCGUCAGUUUGUGUGCUGGGUCAGGAAAGGUCAACCACUUGGCAAGAAACACAGAAUAAUCCUACCGGCUUGUGUAGUAAACAUAAUUAGAAAAGAGUUUCCAUCGUUGGAUGGGGUAUACGAAUGAUUCAAAGAAUGUGAAAGUGACACUUCAGACUGAAUAGUUCUAAAAUCAUUUAAACGAUUUACCAAUACAAUUUUUCACCGAAUGUUUCAGAUUCAUUUCAUUAUUUGUGUAUUAAUAAACCUAUUUUAUGAAUUAUUUCACUUUGAGGUCUAAUUUUAUAGAUUGCAUGUUGUAUUAACAUGAAGGUUUGGUCUACCACAGUACCACGGAGCGUUGAUAUGAUUUGACCCGAGAUCCUCCCGAGAUGUUGUUGGGGUUCUUGUUGUGCGACCUAAACCAGUUUUCUAUGAUGUGUUUUUUAUCUCUUUGUUUGUCUUUCGAUCGUUUAUUGGUUAUUUUUUGCUAUGACGUUGUCAGUGUGUUUUUUAAUACUGAAUAUGACUAUCCGUAUUGGUACCUUCUGUCUUUUUACAAACAAGACCAUGAAACUGAAUAUUGGAAAUGUAUCAUGCUACUACAAAAAAAAAGCACUGAUGGAUUGUCCUAGAAGCAUAUUUUAUGAGAAUAAUAAUGGUCUAUAAGCAGUUACAUUUAUUUCAUGUUUGAAGCGGUGCAUUUUUUAAAAUUUAAUUUGACUUUUACCAAGAAAUGCAUUGUAGCAAAGGGGUAAGAGUAAUUGUGGUCUAGUGUCAGAUACUCGAAAAUAAUGGAAUUUAACAGAAAAGGAAACAAAUAACGGACUUUGGCAAAAAUGUAGAGGGCUUUUGAUACCUUUUCUCCAGACAUAAAAUCUUUUACAAUAAAUCAUCCUACAACAGCUUAAAAGCUUGAAAUGC
rnacentral:lncRNA from 1 species